CAUGCAUGUCUAAGUAUAAGCAACCUAUACUGUGAAACUGCGAAUGGCUCAUUAAAUCAGUUAUCGUUUAUUUGAUAGUACCUUACUACAUGGAUAACCGUGGUAAUUCUAGAGCUAAUACAUGCUAAAAACCCCGACUUCGGAAGGGGUGUAUUUAUUAGAUAAAAAACCAAUGCCCUUCGGGGCUCCCUGGUGAUUCAUAAUAACUCAACGAAUCGCAUGGCCUUGCGCCGGCGAUGGUUCAUUCAAAUUUCUGCCCUAUCAACUUUCGAUGGUAGGAUAGUGGCCUACCAUGGUAUCAACGGGUAACGGGGAAUUAGGGUUCUAUUCCGGAGAGGGAGCCUGAGAAACGGCUACCACAUCCAAGGAAGGCAGCAGGCGCGCAAAUUACCCAAUCCCGACACGGGGAGGUAGUGACAAUAAAUACUGAUACGGGGCUCUUUUGGGUCUCGUAAUUGGAAUGAGUACAAUUUAAAUCCCUUAACGAGGAACAAUUGGAGGGCAAGUCUGGUGCCAGCAGCCGCGGUAAUUCCAGCUCCAAUAGCGUAUAUUAAAGUUGUUGCAGUUAAAAAGCUCGUAGUUGAACCUUGGGCCUGGCUGGCCGGUCCGCCUCACCGCGUGUACUGGUCCGGCCGGGCCUUUCCUUCUGGGGAAUCGCAUGCCCUUCACUGGGUGUGUCGGGGAACCAGGACUUUUACUUUGAAAAAAUUAGAGUGUUCAAAGCAGGCCUUUGCUCGAAUACAUUAGCAUGGAAUAAUAGAAUAGGACGUGCGGUUCUAUUUUGUUGGUUUCUAGGACCGCCGUAAUGAUUAAUAGGGAUAGUCGGGGGCAUCAGUAUUCAAUUGUCAGAGGUGAAAUUCUUGGAUUUAUUGAAGACUAACUACUGCGAAAGCAUUUGCCCAAGGAUGUUUUCAUUAAUCAGUGAACGAAAGUUAGGGGAUCGAAGACGAUCAGAUACCGUCGUAGUCUUAACCAUAAACUAUGCCGACUAGGGAUCGGGCGAUGUUAUCAUUUUGACUCGCUCGGCACCUUACGAGAAAUCAAAGUCUUUGGGUUCUGGGGGGAG
rnacentral:rRNA from 1 species